UACGGAGGGUGCAAGCGUUAAUCGGAAUUACUGGGCGUAAAGCGCACGCAGGCGGUUUGUUAAGUCAGAUGUGAAAUCCCCGAGCUUAACUUGGGAACUGCAUUUGAAACUGGCAAGCUAGAGUCUUGUAGAGGGGGGUAGAAUUCCAGAUGUAGCGGUGAAAUGCGUAGAGAUCUGGAGGAAUACCGGUGGCGAAGGCGGCCCCCUGGACAAAGACUGACGCUCAGGUGCGAAAGCGUGGGGAGCAAACAGG
rnacentral:rRNA from 1 species